rnacentral:tRNA from 1 species
GGCGACCGUAGCUCAAUUAGCGAGAGCGCUGGAGUACCGGUCUGGAGGUUGCGGGUUCGAGUCCCGCCGACCGUCA